AUUGAACGCUGGCGGCAGGCUUAACACAUGCAAGUCGAACGAGUGGCGGACGGGUGAGCAAUGCUUGGGAAUCUGGCUUAUGGAGGGGGAUAACGACGGGAAACUGUCGCUAAUACCGCGUACCAUAGGAUGAGCCCAGGUUGGAUUAGGUAGUUGGUGGGGUAAUGGCCUACCAAGCCGACGAACUCUAGCUGGUCUGAGAGGAUGACCAGCCACACCGGAACGUGGACACGGCCCUGAUUCCUACGGGAGGCAGCAGUGGGGAAUAUUGCGCAAUUGGGGCAACCUGACGCAGCCAGGCCGCGUGGGUGAAGAAGGCCUUCGGGUUGUAAAGUUCUUUCGGUGACGAGGCGUUAAUCACAGAAGAAGCACCGGCUAACUCCGUGCCAGCAGCCGCGGUAAUUC
rnacentral:rRNA from 1 species